rnacentral:rRNA from 1 species
GUGCCAGCCGCCGCGGUAAUACGUAGGGGGCGAGCGUUAUCCGGAUUUACUGGGCGUAAAGCGCGUUAAGGCGGUUGGCAAAGUUGGUUGUGAAAUUUCAGGGCUCAACCAUGAAACUGCGUCCAAUACUGGUCGACUAGAGUGCGAGAGAGGAAGGUGGAAUUCCCGGUGUAGUAGUGAAAUGCGUAGAUAUCGGGAGGAACACCAGUGGCGAAGGCGGCCUUCUGGCUCGCAACUGACGCUGUAGCGCGAAAGCGUGGGGAGCGAACGGGAUUAGAUACCCGCGUAGUCC